rnacentral:lncRNA from 1 species
GCGUGGCGUGUGGCGAAACCUCUUCGCCCGCAGCCCUUGACGCCGUGCCUUAUUGCCCUUGACGCCGAACCUUAUUGGCACUAUGGCGAAGGGCGUGGGUGGGUGAAACCUGUUCGCCCGCAGCCCUUGGCGCCAUACCUUAUUGGCACUAUAUCGAAGGGCGUGGGUGGGCGAAACCUGUUCGCCCGCAGCCCUUCAAGCCGUACCUUAUUGGUACUAUGGCGAAGGGCGUGGGUGGGCGAAACCUGUUUGCCCGCAGCCCUUGACACCGUACCUUAUUGGCACUAUGGUGAAGGGUGUGGGUGGGCGAAACCUGUUCGCCCGCAGCCCUUUACGCCGUACCUUUUUGGUACUGUGGUGAAGGGCGUGGGUGUGGCGAAACCUCUUCGCCUGCAGCCCUUGACGCCGUAUCUUAUUGGUACUUUGGCGAAGGGCUUGGCGUGUGGCGAAAAGGGUCCCAUUUCGCCCUUUCGGUAUGGGUAUCCCCACGGACGGCGCCAGCUGUUGUCGAAUGGAAAACUAUGCCACGUCGAAAGGCGUGGUUCUCUUAACAGUAGUUGGAAUGUAAAAGCAAUUGUAUGCCUAUCGUAAAAUAAUUUAG